rnacentral:rRNA from 1 species
UACAGAGGGUGCAAGCGUUGUUCGGAAUUAUUGGGCGUAAAGGGCGCGUAGGCGGUGCGGUAAGUCUGCGGUGAAAUCUCCCGGCUCAACUGGGAGGCUGCCGUGGAAACUGCCGUGCUUGAGUGUGGGAGAGGUGAGUGGAAUUCCCGGUGUAGCGGUGAGAUGCGUAGAUAUCGGGAGGAACACCUGUGGCGAAAGCGGCUCACUGGACCACAACUGACGCUGAGGCGCGAAAGCGUGGGGAGCGAACAGG